rnacentral:rRNA from 1 species
UGAUGAGGCUUMKGGUUGUAAGCUCUUUUACCAGGGAUGAUAAUGACAGUACCUGGAGAAUAAGCUCCGGCUAACUCCGUGMCAGCAGSCGCGGUAAUACGGAGGGAGCUAGCGUUGUUCGGAAUUACUGGGCGUAAAGCGUACGUAGGCGGUUAUWCAAGUCAGAGGUGAAAGCCUGGAGCUCAACUCCGAGAACUGCCUYUGAAACUAGAUAACUAGAAUCUUGGAGAGGUGAGUGGAAUUCCGAGUGUAGAAGGUGAAAUUCGUAGAUAUUCGGAAGAACACCAGUGGCGAAGGCGGACUCACUGGACAWGUAUGACGCUGAGGCACGARAGCGUGGGGAGCAAACAGGAUUAGAUACCCUGGGKRGUCCACG